GCCGCCGUGGCUUAGUGGUUAGUUAUUGUCAGAUUGGACACCGGGUGAUCAACGGUUCAAAUCCGUUCGGCGGCG
rnacentral:tRNA from 1 species